CGGGUUCUGUCCUUCUCGUCAGGGGCCCUAGAUCCUGGUGGCCUAAGCAUUCUCGCGGGAGCUGGCUCUGCGACUGGCCGUGGCCUAUCGCACCUGGCGCCCACCUGGUUAUCCAGGCUCGCGAGGAUUAGACGCCUCGACGGUCGCGACGGGCCCGCC
rnacentral:sRNA from 1 species